AAUAAAAAGAACAAAAAAAAAAUAAAAAUAAAAAUAAAUAAAUUAUUUAUUAGCGAUAGGCCUACAGAUUUAUUAAGAGUUUUUAUUAAGGCUAUUGUAAAGGAUUCUUAAAAAUGCUGUCGCUGAUGAGCCUCUGAUCGCUGUCAGAUUCUGUGAUAUGAAUGUCCGCUAAUGGGUUUAGAAUGAGCCCCGCUCGGCCCGUGUUCUGGCUUACUGUAAUAUUUCACCUGUAAUAAGACCGAAAUAAUAUAAUUAAAAUAAAGAAAUGAAUGAAUACAUGAUAACAUCUAAAUAAAUGUUGAUAGAUUUAGCGUUAUAGUUUUAAAAAUAUUAAUAAACAGCAAAUCAACACAGAAAGACCUAAAUAAUAAUAAUACAUAAUUAAUAAACAGCGCCGCCCCUCCCACUACGCGCAUCACGCGCUGUGCGUCAACCCCAAAGCGUCAAAAACUGAAGCGUGUUCAAGCGCCUCUAGCGUCACUGACAUGAGAUGUUUAUCGCUUUGAAAUCACGUUCAAGAAGUCUCAUUCAGCACACAUCGCGAUACUUUCCAUCAGUUUGCAAGAGCCGCAGGUUGGGUGAGUUAUACAGUCUAUGGUGAGUAGUAGUAAAUAUGCUCUUUUAAUGCCUGUCAUGAAACGUAUUCUGUCUUCUUUAUUAAUCAGAUGAGCGCCUUGUGUUAACUCUCUGUAUUACAUCGGUCAUCCGAGGCUGUCUUUGAGUUUCAUUGUGUUUAACUAAAUGAACACAGCUGCUAACUGGUUAAACUCUAUCGGUCACGUGACGUGACGUGACGUGCCACAGACCUGGGAUCCGUUUUAUAUUCAUUUCAGGUUCAAAGAUCUGAAAAGACGUAAAGUAAGCAGUCACCCCAGUGGUGUUUGUGGAGAGGUAUUCCUUCAGAAAUGGAGAAGACAGAAAGCUGCAGAGGCAGGAUUGUUUGCAGAUAAUGCUGUUCUUCUUUUUCAGAAGUUUUUGGGGAGCCAACCCUCACAAACCUUCCUAAAAACUAAAAGAGCUAUUACUGAGUCUCAGCGACUCUUGCCACGAUCAGCUCUUCCCAGAAGAGAAGGAAGACCAAGGAAAUGAUUUGCUCAGGAUGAGAAAUGAAGAUGGCCAUCUUGUGCUCAAACAAACAGAAGUCCUCUGAUGAUCUCAUCAACCAAAUGAGGGGUUUUGACCAAGUGAUGCUCUUGAAAGGUGUGAAAGAAGAGGAUGUGGUAAAUUGUCUUCAGAGAUAAACCUUCUCUGAAGGUCUUAAAACAGC